rnacentral:rRNA from 1 species
UACGAAGGGGGCUAGCGUUGUUCGGAAUCACUGGGCGUAAAGCGCACGUAGGCGGAUCGUUAAGUCGGGGGUGAAAUCCCGAGGCUCAACCUCGGAACUGCCUUUGAUACUGCAAAUCUCGAGUCCGGAAGAGGCGAGUGGAAUUCCUAGUGUAGAGGUGAAAUUCGUAGAUAUUAGGAAGAACACCAGUGGCGAAGGCGGCUCACUGGUCCGGUACUGACGCUGAGGUGCGAAAGCGUGGGGAGCAAACAGG